AACAGGAUUAGAUACCCUGGUAGUCCACGCCCUAAACGAUGUCUACUAGUUGUCGGGUCUUAAUUGACUUGGUAACGCAGCUAACGCGUGAAGUAGACCGCCUGGGGAGUACGGUCGCAAGAUUAAAACUCAAAGGAAUUGACGGGGACCCGCACAAGCGGUGGAUGAUGUGGAUUAAUUCGAUGCAACGCGAAAAACCUUACCUACCCUUGACAUGUCUGGAAUCCUCGAGAGAUCGGGGAGUGCCCGAAAGGGAACCUGAACACAGGUGCUGCAUGGCUGUCGUCAGCUCGUGUCGUGAGAUGUUGGGUUAAGUCCCGCAGCGAGCGCAACCCUUGUCAUUAGUUGCUACGCAAGAGCACUCUAAUGAGACUGCCGGUGACAAACCGGAGGAAGGUGGGGAUGACGUCAAGUCCUCAUGGCCCUUAUGGGUAGGGCUUCACACGUCAUACAAUGGUACAUACAGAGGGCCGCCAACCCGCGAGGGGGAGCUAAUCCCAGAAAGUGUAUCGUAGUCCGGAUCGCAGUCUGCAACUCGACUGCGUGAAGUUGGAAUCGCUAGUAAUCGCGGAUCAGCACGCCGCGGUGAAUACGUUCCCGGGUCUUGUACACACCGCCCGUCACACCAUGGGAGCGGGUUUUACCAGAAGUAGGUAGCUUAACCGCAAGGAGGGCGCUUACCACGGUAGGAUUCGUGACUGGGGUGAAGUCGUAACAAGGUAACC
rnacentral:rRNA from 1 species